GCCGAGGUAGUCUAGCAAGGUAAGGCGCCAGACUAAGGAUCUGGUCGAUCACGUCAGAUCGCCGCGGGUUCGAAUCCCGUCCUCGGCG
rnacentral:tRNA from 1 species